UACGUAGGGAGCAAGCGUUGUUCGGAUUUACUGGGCGUAAAGGGCGCGUAGGCGGCGCAGUAAGUUACUUGUGAAAUCUCUGAGCUUAACUCAGAACGGCCAAGUAAUACUGCAGUGCUAGAGUGCAGAAAGGGCAAUCGGAAUUCUUGGUGUAGCGGUGAAAUGCGUAGAUAUCAAGAGGAACACCUGAGGCGAAGGCGGGUUGCUUGUCUGACACUGACGCUGAGGCGCGAAAGCCAGGGGAGCAAACGGG
rnacentral:rRNA from 2 species